CAGCUCUUAGAGGAAAGUAGGACAUUGUUAUCCCCAUUUUACAGUUGAAGAAAACGGAAGUCAGAAUGAAUUGGCCAGGGCUACAUAGCUGCUUUUAGAAAAAUUUACAAAUCUGCAAAUAUGCCACUUGUUUAUUGAAAUGGACAGAAGAGAACUACCCAGAGGAGGAACUGAAAAGCAAAUUGGGAGACACAGUGAAAGAGGGAACACAAGCAGAGGGAGUGGCAGAGGGAGAA